CGGGGUGUAGCGCAGAUGGAAGCGCGCUUGGUUCGGGACCAAGAGGUCGCUGGUUCAAGUCCAGUCACCCCGA
rnacentral:tRNA from 2 species